UCAGGUUUGAGAAUAAGACUUUUGAUGAAGGACAAUGUUGGAGAGAAGUAGCAAUGUUAUUACAUGCAAGAAAUAGGAAUCGUAAAAGAUGGAAGGAUGGGUUACAAAAGCUCAAUUUCUACCCUUAGUUUUGGUUGAACAUUAUCUGCUAGGUAGUGAUGUGUAUAUGAAUUGAGUAGUUAGGAUUCAAGUGUAACUAGAAUGAAAGUGUAAAUGAGUAGUAGAAGUCCAUACUACUACCUUAGAUGCGUAUAUGAAUUGAGUAGUUAGGAUUCAAGUGUAACUAGAAUGAAAGUGUAAAUGAGUAGUAGAAGUCCAUACUACCACCUUAGGAUUACAUUGUAUAUUUUUUUGAUAUCAAUACAAAUCGACAGUUAAGCUU
rnacentral:lncRNA from 1 species